UAUCUCUGUAGAGUCUGCAUAUCAAUAAGCGGAGGAAAAGAAACUAACAAGGAUUCCCUUAGUAACGGCGAGUGAAGCGGGAAGAGCUCAAAUUUGAAAUCUUCAAGGUUCUACCUUGACGAAUUGUAGUUUAAAGAAGUGUUUUCUGUUAGAUGAGUAGCAAAAGUUCCUUGGAAUGGGACAUCAUAGAGGGUGAGAAUCCCGUAUUUGGUUAUUCAUUCUAGCUUUGUGAUACACUUUCAAAGAGUCGGAUUGUUUGGGAAUGCAGUCCAAAAUGGGUGGUAAAUUUCAUCUAAAGCUAAAUAUUGGCGAGAGACCGAUAGCGAACAAGUACCGUGAGGGAAAGAUGAAAAGAACUUUGAAAAGAGAGUUAAACAGUACGUGAAAUUGUCAAAAGGGAAGCGUUUGACACCAGUGUUGUUUUUCCGAAAAUCAAUUACAAAUGGCUUGAUUUUGUGUUGUAUUGACCUUAUCAGCUUUCUUCACUUUUUUCGAGUCUUUCUUAAUGCACUUUUCGGUUAACAAGUCAACAUCAAUUUCUUUUGUUGUAAAAGAGUAUUCGGAAGGUGGCUUUCUUUUCGGAGAAAGUGUUUAUAGCCCUAUACUUCUACAAUCGGAGAGAUUGAGGUCCGCAGCGUAGAUCCUUCGGGGUUAGAUACAUUUGUGCUAAGUUGUAGCUUUUCAUAGACAACUUGUUGACUAUGUUUAGUCAUGCGGCUCACUCGCUUAGUGCUAUUUUACCUACGCUUAGGAUGUUGACUGAUAUGUAGUCGUA
rnacentral:rRNA from 1 species